rnacentral:tRNA from 1 species
GCUCCUGUGGUGUAGAUAGGUUAAGCAUAUUGCUCUCUCAAGGCAAUGAUCCCGGGUUCAAAUCCCGGCGGGAGCA